CAACGGUUUCAGGCGGUUAGGGCUCUGUCACUGCGCUUCUGUUCAGCUCUCGGGCUCCGAGGAAUGUUGUCUGGCUCCUCCUUCCCUGCGACUAGCUGAGGAGCUGUAGGUUGGGAGAUAAACAAGUUGAAGUUGAAAGAAGAUAAUUGAUUUCCCUAAGACCUCACCGGAAAUAAUUGCAAGAGCAGAAUUUGAACUAGGCCUGUUGCAGUCUGCCUCCAGAACCUAGGCUCCUAACCAUUGAUGAAUAAAAUGAGACCCUGAGGAGAAAUCAGCUGGAAUUCAGACCCAGGCCUAUCAGACCCAAGAGAUCAUUCCUGAACCAGACUGCCUCUAGGAAGCACUUGACUAGUAGGUCCUAGGUGGGAUCAGGUGAGGGGUCCUCUCACCCAGCCAGCCUUUUCUGUAAACAAUGAGUUAAUCUGGUCCCAACAUGGGCCCUAAAGGUGGCUGGGUGUGUAUUUCACAGCCUCAGGACCAUUGGAGGCUUCUCAUCAAGAAGCCCUAAUCAUAAUUGCUACCAUUUAUGGAACACUUUUUAUGGACCAGGCAAAGUGGAAAGCAUUCUGCAUCAUCUAUGCAUCAUCUCACUGAAUCUUUUUAAUAAUUCUAGGACAUAGGUACAGCAAGUCCCCCACUUACGAACAUUCAACUUGCGAACUUUCACAGAUACAAACGGACCCCACAUUACGAACAUUUGUAGAUGCGAACAAAUCGCGGA